AUUGAACGCUGGCGGCAUGCCUUACACAUGCAAGUCGAACGGUAACGCGGGGGCAACCCUGGCGACGAGUGGCGAACGGGUGAGUAAUACAUCGGAACGUACCCAGUAGUGGGGGAGUAGCUCGGCGAAAGCCGGAUUAAUACCGCAUACGACCCAUGGGUGAAAGCGGGGGAUCGCAAGACCUCGCGCUAUUGGAGCGGCCGAUGUCGGAUUAGCUAGUUGGUGAGGUAAAGGCNCACCAAGGCUACGAUCCGUAGCUGGUCUGAGAGGACGACCAGCCACACUGGGACUGAGACACGGCCCAGACUCCUACGGGAGGCAGCAGUGGGGAAUUUUGGACAAUGGGCGCAAGCCUGAUCCAGCCAUGCCGCGUGUGUGAAGAAGGCCU
rnacentral:rRNA from 1 species